rnacentral:misc_RNA from 1 species
UGUGGGAGGGGGCUUGCUCCCGAUAGCGGUGUGUCAGUUACCAAUAAAUUGACUGACCUACCGCUAUCGGGAGCAAGCCCCCUCCCACC